rnacentral:tRNA from 1 species
AAGGGAGACCUAAUUCGGGUAUAAGACGAAAAAAUAGUAGUCGAAACCAAGAAUCAAUCCCAAAAGGUCGGAACGAGGUAUGUGGCUUUCAAACUAGGUUCUGGGUUCACAAAAGACCUGAAUCAGGAACAAGGGCUAUUAGCUCAGGUGGUUAGAGCGCACCCCUGAUAAGGGUGAGGUCCCUGGUUCGAGUCCAGGAUGGCCCACCUGCACAGGUGGUAAAAACAAGAGAAGCGAGGAAUCAGCACCUUAUCUUACUUACAUAGUAAGAGAGAAUGCUGGCUCUGAGUAAAGAGUCCAGAGGAACCUUGAAAACUGCAUAGAGCUAGGUGAAAAAGCCAAAAAAGAAGACCGCAA